rnacentral:misc_RNA from 1 species
UACUUUCAGCAAUGGAUCUCUUGGCUCUGGCAUCGAUGAAGAACGCAGCGAAAUGCGAUAUGUAAUGUGAAUUGCAGAAUUUAGUGAAUCAUCGAAUCUUUGAACGCACAUUGCGCCCCUUGGUAUUCCGAGGGGCACACCUGUUCGAGCGUCAUUUCACAAAUCAAGCAAUGCUUGGUAUUGGGCGCCGCCCUAUCGGGCGUGCCUUAAAACCCUCGGCGUCGCCGUCCGUCUCCUAGCGCAGCGAGAGUAAAAUCCAGCGCCAUCGGGACGGGCCGCGCCCGCCGCAUAAUACUAUUUUUAUAAGUUGACCUCGGAUCAGGUGGGGAUACCCGCUGAACUUAAGCAUAUCAAUAAGCGGAGGCU